rnacentral:piRNA from 1 species
UAACUGAACUAUGAUGGAUGGCCAGUGAU